GGUCGGUCUAUUUCCAAUGAUUAAAAUGUAGUUUGAAUGUUCGAACGGGACUGUUCAUGCACUAAGUCAAUGUUGAAGUGGGUUCGGUAGAUUACCUUUACGGCGCGCUGUUCGUAUGGAUUUAGUAGAAGUUAGCUGGAGGUGGAAGGUCUAGCGGUGUUCGUGCCGUCGAGAGUCCGAUUUUAGUUCCAUGCACUCUACGACAAAGCACUGCUGUCCG